rnacentral:rRNA from 1 species
AUUGAACGCUGGCGGCAUGCCUUACACAUGCAAGUCGAACGGCAGCGGACCUUCGGGUGCCGGCGAGUGGCGAACGGGUGAGUAAUAUAUCGGAACGUACCUUUCAGUGGGGGAUAACGUAGCGAAAGUUACGCUAAUACCGCAUAUUCUGUGAGCAGGAAAGCAGGGGAUCGCAAGACCUUGCGCUGAUUGAGCGGCCGAUAUCAGAUUAGCUAGUUGGUGAGGUAAAGGCUCACCAAGGCGACGAUCUGUAGCGGGUCUGAGAGGAUGAUCCGCCACACUGGAACUGAGACACGGUCCAGACUCCUACGGGAGGCAGCAGUGGGGAAUUUUGGACAAUGGGCGCAAGCCUGAUCCAGCCAUGCCGCGUGAGUGAAGAAGGCCUUC